UGCAGUAGCGUUCUUGCUAAUUAGGACUAACCGCAGCUGCAAGGUGCCUCUGAUUAGGAAUGUUAAUUACUUCACGAAAGAAAUACUCUUUUGCAGAUGGCUGUAGCGUUAACAAUAAUCUGUAACAUAUAACGGUGUCAAAAAAAAUCUCCCCGAGGUGGUGCAGCGACACACAUUGAUGGGUGGUUCAGAGGCAUUUUGAACUUCAGCGACUGAGUAGGGGUGGGAAAGAAGAGAUUGAUUUCAUCUCUUGCAGAGGAAUACCGCUAGGAUACGUAUUUGGAUUCAUGUCGAGAUAUGGUAGAAGACAUCUGAUGCAUGCAGGAAGAACAAACUUGACUAUUAAAAUGUUGGUAAAAGAAGUAGUUCAUUGCAAAAAGGGAGCACAGGAAGAGUCAUCAGUGACCUGAAUCCUUCAACAGGCUGAAGAAGCUAACCCUGAGUAUUGGUUGUUUGGUGUGAAGACCACAGUUCAGGACAACUUCCUUUAGCUUAUAUUUAAUUCCUUUCCUGAAUAAUGAUGGAUGUGAACCAAUGUUUAAAUGCUUUCCCAAAUCAAAGUCACAUCCAUUCCAUGAGAUGCCCAGACAUUCAUACGUUUACUCUUCUUUAAAAAAGGUGACAGAGAAAGCUGGCAUCCAGAGAUGUGAUUUGAACCCUUCCAGCUUAAGUUGUACAGCUUGUUGGAAUUUGUAAACCCUCAUAUGAUCAAGUUUAAAUUAAGUGAAGUAAAAUUUUUCAUCUUUUGGUUUUCUUUUAUCCAUUUUUUUCAUCCCCCAACCUUAUAACUCCCUUCCUCUUACCUCACCAUACACUUAUUUCAGUGAUGAAAUGUAAAACAAAAUGGAAGGAGGGAAUGGAGAAAGAUAAAAGAUCAUGGAAAACAUUUUGGUGUUUCAAAUUAUUAGACUUUUCAAUAAAUGUUGCAUAAAAAUCCAAACAGUGAACAUUUAUUUUCAAAACUUACAGAACAAAAAUGUUAAAUAUUUUAAUGACAACAUGCUAUUUUUUCUAUCUCUACCUCAUAGUUUUAACUCUGCACAAGACUCCUUUACAAUACUGUACUAAUUGUUUUCUUGUUCUCCCCUCCAUCUCCUGCAUCCACCUGUUGUCAGUCAUCUUAUACUGAGGCUACAUCUAUAGUGCAGCGCUAUUUCAGGAUACCGGAAGUAAUCAAAGAAUACUGUCACCAAGUAUGCAGUGGUUGGGCAAAGGCACAGAGGUGAGGGAUUUGAAGAUGCUAUCACUGCUGCUGAAGAAAGACUGAAAACUUAUGAGUUGAGCCUGUCUACAAAGAAACUUGUAUUCAUUGGAAGAAGAUGAAAAGUUUGGAGCUAUGAAGUAUCACAAAAAGACCUGGGAGAGGGAGGGGGUCUUGUAGGAUAUUAGUAAGUUGCCAGGCAAGCAGCAAAACACUCACUUGAAAAAUUGUAUGUUCCUUCACCAGAAACUGACACAUGGACAUCCAAACGUUCUGCAAUGAUACAUACAGAUACAUACCUAUAUGUCAAAUGGAACAACAUUCAUCAUGUUCUGCCACACAGAAAACACUUUCAGCUUCAAGUUCUCUAAUCCAUUCAUAAUACAGAGCUUCAGGACACUUAUCUUAAUGUAGGGAUAGCUUUCAGGAUACUUUUCACACUGCCAGCCCAUGUGUGGUGAGCACAUUUUUUUAAGUUUGAGCUCAUUAAAAUAUAUUUUUGAUUAGUGAUGGCCAGCAAGAGACUGACUGCUUGCUAUUUUAUUGCUUGAGAAUGCAUAGUCCAAACUUUGGUCUCUCUCCCUGAUGCUAUGCUUCAGUUUUAGAACAUUCAAAAGUUGGGUCAAAUUUAAGAUGAGAAUUAGGAGGCAUUCAGAUAUUGAAAGUUUUUUCUCCAAAUUGGAGAAGGAAUCUCCUUUUCUCCUCCUC